ensembl:lncRNA
UGGAAUUCCAUCACCUCCACCUGCAUUGUUCAUAGUGAUGCUUCCUAAGGCCCACUUGACUUCAGAUUCCAGGAUGUCUGGCUCUAGGACGACGUGGGACUCUCCCAGAGGAGUGUCAGAAUGGAUGUUAUGUGGGCUGACGGGAAGCAGCUGAAAACGAUCCACUGGGUUUUUUAAUGCAGAUGAUGCACGGGUCGGAGAGGACCCGAAGGGGAUCGAAGAACCCUGAUUGGAAGACAGAGGGGCUCAGUUCAGCUCCCUCCCAGCCAAUCACCACUGCUUACAGGAGACGACAUCCUUUCUCCGAGUCCAAUCAAAUCCAGGACUGACUGAAAGUCACACUCCACCUGCUCUGAACCCUUGGGUUUUUGAGAAAACAGAAGUUAACCUCAUCUACUUCCAUGCCAAAAGGAUUUGAGACUUCAGGAAUUCUUUCACCCAAGCAGAAGCUGAUUCUUCAG